AUAUAUGUAUUUAUAUCUUAACUACAUUUCUAAAUCUUAGCAAUUUUCUAAUCUACAAAUAAAGUUCCUAGUUCAAUCACUAUACUUUCAACUUUCUUAUCUCUGUUAUAUAAAGCUAAAGUUUCAAACUUAGAUGUCACACAAGUUCAUUCUACACUUGGAAAAUUAAUCACAAUUCUAUGUAUUGAAAAUUUCUAAUAUCUAAAUCAAAAUUCAUAAUCCGAUCAAUAUUUUUCACUCUCCAACUUCUUUUUUUUUUUUCCUAAACUCGGUAUAUAAUCUAAGAAUCAAUAAAUCCAAAAAAAUCAUUCUCCCUUCCACUAAUAAAAAUCCAACCGAAGGUAGGACAAUUUAUGUAUAGGCUUAGAUGUUUUUC
rnacentral:lncRNA from 1 species